UACGUAGGGUGCAAGCGUUAAUCGGAAUUACUGGGCGUAAAGCGUGCGCAGGCGGUUAUGUAAGACAGGUGUGAAAUCCCCCGGGCUUAACCUGGGAACUGCAUUUGUGACUGCAUAGCUAGAGUACGGGUAGAGGGGGGAUGGAAUUCCGCGUGUAGCAGUGAAAUGCGUAGAUAUGCGGAGGAACACCGAUGGGCGAAGGCAAUCCCCCUGGACCUGUACUGACGCUCAUGCACGAAAGCGUGGGGAGCAAACAGG
rnacentral:rRNA from 1 species